rnacentral:rRNA from 1 species
UACGUAGGGUGCAAGCGUUACUCGGAAUUACUGGGCGUAAAGCGUGCGCAGGCGGUUUUGCAAGACAGAUGUGAAAUCCCCGGGCUUAACCUGGGAACUGCAUUUGUGACUGCACAGCUGGAGUGCGGCAGAGGGGGAUGGAAUUCCGCGUGUAGCAGUGAAAUGCGUAGAUAUGCGGAGGAACACCGAUGGCGAAGGCAAUCCCCUGGGCCUGCACUGACGCUCAUGCACGAAAGCGUGGGGAGCAAACAGG